GAAUAACAAUCGGGAUGUUCAUUCACACCUCAUUCAGUCAAGCUCAAAAGAAGCAGUAUUAUAGUGUGCAGGGUGUAAAGACUGUAUAUGACUGCUAGGGGGAGGCAUUUAGUCACACUCGGUGUGUUAAAACAAAUGUAUUUUCUGACACCGGGUCUGUCAGCGCUCUCUUUUAAACAAGCUACUGUAUCAACAAUAGAAGACUUGUCCAGUUCUACUUUAAUCAGUAUCAUUAGCCAAACAUAUUGUGACGUUGUCGUCUCAGGCCCUCAGCUGUGUUCUCUUGAUUUUGUGUGGAAUGUAGUGAGUGUGGCUCAGUGGGUAAAGUCUUGUGUUUGUUAUCCCUGACAGCAUUCUUUUCUGAUGUAAUCGCUGAUACAGUGACGUUCAAUGGCGAACAUCUCCCACCACCACAGGCUGAUAUGCAUCCCAUGGGAGCUUGAGUUGCUGAUCAACAAGCACAUGUAUGCUGAGCUUUGCCAAGCGCUCACCCUUUAGCAGUGCAACCAUCAAAUCCAAUCCAAUCCACCUUUGUCUUUUCACCUCUCUGUUCAAACUCUUUCUUUCCCACUUCCUCCCCCUCCUGUAGCCUUUCAUGCUUGCUCAUAAUCUUCAGUGUAACCUCCAGACAGCACUCUCUUGCACUCGAUUCUAGGGCCGGUGCCCCAGUGCCACUCACCCCAAAACCCAACCUCCCUCGGCCAGCGCUGGUCUGCGUGGAGAUUAUGUAAGCCUGCCUCUAUAAAUAGUGGUGCUCGGGAUCUUUUGUCUUUACCUGCUCGCUCUUAGCCCAACAGUUUUAUUUCUGGAGAGCUUGUGGAAGCAGUGCCAUGCAGAGCGCCUGUUACCAUAGUUACUUAUGUUAGCGAGGAAAGAGAGAGAGAGAGAGAAAGACACCACGUUCUUAUUUGGUUUCCUCAUAGCAGCAGUGCAAUCUGUUUCAAUAGACUCAUUCCUUUUCAGUUUGUAAUUGUCUCUAAGAAAAGGUGAAUUCUUUUACAGGCUUGAAUCGCCUUGACGGGGUCAGUCUUUAUGAAGUCUGCCUCCUGAAGAAAUACGCAGUGCUAGCUGCUCGAAUUACAUGGUAGGAAGAGGACUGCCAUGCAAGUGCACAAUGAGUUUGUUGAUUUCUCCAAAUGGCUCAGGUGGCAGCUGGGGAGUUUAGGGAAAAGUUAUGGGCCUUGUUCCCUGUAACAAGCAGGAGUGCUACAACAUUUAGCGCCCUGCUGCGUAACAAGAAGUGAGCCCUGUCGCUGUGGUGCUAAGCUAAUUUAUCCUCAUUUAUCAUGAUUAGAUAACUCCAGGUAGCUGGAGGAGAGUCAGAUUGGCCUGCUGGUAUGCUCUGUAGCUGUGGCUCAGAGUAGAGAAGAGGUUGCUGGGAAUGUGGGGGUGUCAGUCAGAGCGGGCGGGGAACUGCUGGAACCCUCCACAGUCACGAUCAGGAAGAAAGCCUAAGCUUCGGCCCCUCCCAGCCUGAAAGGCGAGGAUGGUUGUCCGGGGACAAGAGUGGGCGAGCACAAGGGUGUAUUUCUGGAACUGCAAGGGAAACCUGCAGCUCGCUGAGUGGGGGUUCAGUUCUGCAAUCGGGCUUCCCUAACCCCACUCCCACACUCCAUAGAUGGAGGAGAGCGAUUAAGUCACCUGUUCGCAAGAUCUGUGCUUUCUGAAAGGGGUUCAAGCGCUGGAGCGUGGUCAUGCAUGGGAUUGUGAUUGAAAGGAAAAAGAAAGCUUAAUUAUUUGGCAGCGUGAUGCAAGCUUGCAUUGAGUCGUGUUUCCGGUCGUGGAAACUCUGAUGUUAGCUCUCCCAAUCCCUUUUUUCGGUUUCUCAUUGUUGCUAUGGUUUGAGGAAGAUGAGCCUUCAUCCGGUGCCAUUGGGGGUUUGUAAUAUGGGACAUACUACAGAAAUGUGAUGUGGAGGGCGUAUGAUUCCUCUGCCUCUUGAAAAUCUACCAGACAUUCUUGAAUAUACUCCAAAGCCUCUCUUUUCAGUAUGUCUUCAUGCAUUUCAAGCCCAUAAGCUUGAGCCUAAGCUUUUUGCAGUAUGCUGCUUCUUCCUUCAGCUCAA
ensembl:lncRNA